GGCCAUCUGUUUUACCAAGACACUCCGUUGUCUCGAUUUCGACAAUCAAAUGUUACAAGAAAAGUUGAAUUUCUUUAUUGUGGAUGCAUUAGAUUCAUUGCCGAAAAUGACAGCUGUUGGAUUGUUUGAUGUUAAUCUUCACCUUGCUCCAUCGAUUGUUGGAACAACUCUCACCUAUUUAAUCAUUCUGUGUCAAUUUCAAUAUUCUAAAAAUUAAAACCCUCAGCAAUGACUGGAGAGACCUUUUACUACAAUCCUCUUCAUGUGUCAUAUUUGCAGACAAAAGAAAGUUGAUUGAAUUUUCAUUGAAUAUGAAACAAGUGUCAUAUUUUGGCAUUCGCCAUAAGGUAAAUCAUAGUCGUAUUCACAAACAAAAAAAAAGCUACGGAAAUGGAAUCCUUUUUUCUGAGAAAUGGAUGGGGGCGUUUUUCCAAAGCGAUUUCGGAAAAAUUUUUUUCAUUUUUCUCGUGGAAUUGCUUUCUCUUCUUCAUUUGGUAACCCUAUCCCACGUUUCUCUUGUAAGGUAAAAUUGUGCACACGAC